rnacentral:lncRNA from 1 species
CGUAUUCAUUCACAUGUUCAUCUGCUCAGGCAUUCAUUGAAUAUUUAUUGUCUAAAUUAUGUACAGUGUAGACACAGAUGCCAAAGGAAGAAGAGUUUGGCUGUCACCAUCACUGUGGCUUGUGUGACAGGCCCUGAAGUGGAGAGUUGCUGCAGGGGCUGCUGUGGGAUUGGUAAACCCAGGUUGGAGAGGACCAGAAUCGCCCCUGGAGGAAACAAGCACCUUCAGUCCUCCAAGUGCUAUUGGGUCCCAGUGACUUGCAGAACAACACACGCCCACUGAGCCAGUCUGCUGCUGCUGCUGCUGCUGCAAGUGCCCGAAGAGCUGAAGCAAGUGGAUGACACACAACAGCAAGAGGGAUUCCUGGGCUGCUGGGACAAACAGGGAACUGGGCACCAUCUGAAGGCACUUGUGAGAAGGAAGGUGCAGACAUCUAUUUAAUUUGAUUAUUUGACGUCUUAGCGAAGCUGCAUCUACCACAGUCAUGUCAUCUAAUGCUCCUUCAAUGACUGCAUCUAUGUUUGAAAUGCCACACAUGUGCAAGUCCCCAGGUUUGUCC